rnacentral:lncRNA from 1 species
UCUGACUUCCAGCCUCCCACUGGGUCAUUGUUAGAAUCAGGUUGGCCUGAGGUAGGGCCCUAGCAAGGUGGUAACUCAAUGCUAUGGCUCAUUUGAUCCCUAUUUUGGGUUGUAAUCCAUUUUAAGGGGGAAAGGCCAAUCUUUUAUACUAAUUAGGCAGCGACAGUUCCUAACUGAGAUGUUUCUUGUGAAACAGCUAAUGGAGUUGUAUAUCAGUGAACAGUAACAGGUUUAGUAGAUCCCAGUGCUGCUGAGGAUACUCUCUGUGUACAUCAUGCUGGAAAAAAUUUCAGAUGUAAUUUCCAGCAAGCACCUUCACCCCAUUUUAUCAAAUAGCAAUGCAAGUCCCAGAGAGAUUAACUGACAUUGAGCUCAUGGCAGAAUCAGGUAUUUUGACUCCAAGUUCAGGGUUCCGUUCACUAUAACCACCACUUACAGACUUCUCCAGCAAUAAUGAGGUGAGCAAAACAAGGUGGCUUUCUCUGCUCUUUGAGAUUUCUGAAAUCAGUGUUCUUCAUUCUCUGUAGAUGUAAAUGCAUCCUGCUAAACUUAAAGUGACAGCAAAUACUUUUCUGGAAGAGCUUUUUAUGGAAGAAGGAGGUUAUAUAUCCUCUGUUACUUCAUAAAUGAUCACAGUGAUUACCCUAUGAUGCAGGAUGAGGAUGAUGGAUUUACAGGGAUUUCCAAAUGUCUGUUAAUGCCCUUCACCCACUUUGCUGAGAUCAGUCAUCUGAACAAAUGGUUUGAAGAUUUUGUGUGAAGAUGCUAUAAAAAGAGUCAUUGGUUUCCCUUGUUCAUAGUAGUUAUUAUGUAUAUGGGUAGAGAGGAGGCUACAAUUUGAGAAUUAAUGUCAUUGAAAAUGAGGGCAAUAUUUGAGAGCCUUGAAUUCUCUGAAGAGUUCAAAUAAAGAUGUCUAUUUUGAAGAGUAUCUUUAUUUUCUUGUUGAAUAAAGAUCUUAAACUUUUUGUUUUUUCAAAGUACAUAUUUCUGUGGCUUUUCAUAUUUCCACAUGCUAUGCAAGUUAUUAAAACCCCAAAUUUUCUGUAUCUGAUUGCAACGGGGCUGCUAAAAAGGAAUGGAUAACAAUAAAAGCAAAAUGGAGAGUGCUUAGAGAGCAUAACAGAGUCAUCAUGGAAAACAGUGGUAAUUUUUAACCUUGCUUUUCCAAGCUAGAGUUUUUGAGAGGACAGCGAGUGCAUAGGCUGCUAUCAUCUUCUCUAAAACAGAAAUGUGAGUAGACAUUUGGCUGAAAACCACAUUUUUCAUUGUUAAUGGAAAUAACAUUUAAAAUGUAUAAGACGUAUAUGUAUAUAUUUAAUAAUCAUCUAUUGAGAGAUUUCUAUAUAUUAGAGACUGUAAUAGUUGAAGUGAUAAUUUUGGACAGUCAACCCUGAUCACAAUAUAUGGAUGUGUGUGUGCAAAGGAUCACACAAACUGUAGUACAAUGUGAUAACAUAUAAAUGCUAGACAAUUAUUAUAAACCAUGCACUACAGGGAAAAUGAAAAGAGAUGAAUUAAUUAUAUUAUGGAGGAAGAAGAGGAAGAAGGGAGGAAAAUGAAGAAGGCCUUACAAAGGAGGUGAGCACAUGAACUUUGAAUCAUGAGUAAGAUUUAAGAUUUUUUUUUUUUUUUUGAGAUGGAGUCUCACUCUGUUACCCAG